rnacentral:rRNA from 1 species
GAUGAACGCUGGCGGCGUGCCUAAUACAUGCAAGUCGAGCGAACAGACGAGGAGCUUGCUCCUCUGACGUUAGCGGCGGACGGGUGAGUAACACGUGGAUAACCUACCUAUAAGACUGGGAUAACUUCGGGAAACCGGAGCUAAUACCGGAUAACAUGUUGAACCGCAUGGUUCAAUAGUGAAAGACGGUUUUGCUGUCACUUAUCGAUGGAUCCGCGCCGCAUUAGCUAGUUGGUAAGGUAACGGCUUACCAAGGCAACGAUGCGUAGCCGACCUGAGAGGGUGAUCGGCCACACUGGAACUGAGACACGGUCCAGACUCCUACGGGAGGCAGCAGUAGGGAAUCUUCCGCAAUGGGCGAAAGCCUGACGGAGCAACGCCGCGUGAGUGAAGAAGGUCUUCGGAUCGUAAAACUCUGUUAUUAGGGAAGAACAAAUGUGUAAGUAACUAUGCACGUCUUGACGGUACCUAAUCAGAAAGCCACGGCUAACUACGUG